UCCGUAGGUGAACCUGCGGAAGGAUCAUUAUCGAAUGAAACUAGAGUCGGUUGUCGCUGGCCUCUUCACCGGGGCAUGUGCACGCCUUCUCUAUUCAUCCACACACACCUGUGAACUCGUAGACGGAUAGUAGUCCUUUCGGGGGCGAGGUCCGUCUGCUAUACAUAAACUCCAGUAUAUUAAUCUGAAUGUAAUUUGAUGUAACACAUCUUUAAACUAAGUUUCAACAACGGAUCUCUUGGCUCUCGCAUCGAUGAAGAACGCAGCGAAAUGCGAUAAGUAAUGUGAAUUGCAGAAUUCAGUGAAUCAUCGAAUCUUUGAACGCACCUUGCGCUCCUUGGUAUUCCUCGGAGCAUGCCUGUUUGAGUAUCAUGAAAUCCUCAAAAUAUAUCUUUUGUUCAUUCAAUUGAUUUCAUUUUGGACUUGGAGGUCUGCAGAUUCACGUCUGCUCCUCUUAAAUAUAUUAGCUGGAUCUCAGUGAGCUCGGUUCCACUCGGCGUGAUAAGUAUCACUCGCUGAGGACACUGUAAAAGGUGGCCGGGAUUGCAGAUGAACCGCUUCUAAUGGUCUAUUCACUUGGACAAUUCAUUUAUGAUCUGAUCUCAAAUCAGGUAGGACUACCCGCUGAACUU
rnacentral:rRNA from 1 species